rnacentral:rRNA from 1 species
CCUACGGGGGGCAGCAGUGAGGAAUAUUGGUCAAUGGGCGGGAGCCUGAACCAGCCAAGUCGCGUGAGGGAAGACGGUCCUAUGGAUUGUAAACCUCUUUAGGCGGGGAGCAAUGCCGGGCACGCGUGCCCGGAGGGAGAGUACCCGCAGAAUAAGCAUCGGCUAACUCCGUGCCAGCAGCCGCGGUAAUACGGAGGAUGCGAGGGUUAUCCGGAUUUAUUGGGGGGAAAGGGUGCGGAGACGGGAAAAUAAGUUAGUUGUGAAAUCCCUCGGCUCAACUGAGGAACUGCAACUAAAACUAUUUU